CUGACUGCCCUGGAGACUGAGGUCUUCAGUUAAUCCACAGAACAGGGACAGCAGUAGCAAUACAAGCUGCCUUCACCUUUCCCAGAAGACAGCCCUCAGUCCUAAACAAGAAGGAUGACCUCUUUGAACAAAGACAGAAUGGUCUUCUGGACCUUUUAAAUUUACUCCCUU
rnacentral:sRNA from 1 species